rnacentral:rRNA from 1 species
UACGGGGGGGGCAAGCGUUGUUCGGAAUUACUGGGCGUAAAGGGCUUGUAGGCGGCCAACUAAGUCAUACGUGAAAUCCCUCGGCUUAACCGGGGAACUGCGUCUGAUACUGGAUGGCUUGAGAUUGGGAGAGGGAUGCGGAAUUCCAGGUGUAGCGGUGAAAUGCGUAGAUAUCUGGAGGAACACCGGUGGCGAAGGCGGCGUUCUGGACUGUUUCUGACACUGAAACGCGAAAGCCAGGGGAGCAAACGGG